GGGCCCGUAGCUCAGCCAGGCGGAGCGCUGGGCUCCAGAUAUGCAUUGGGUCUGUAGACCGAAAGGGAUGAUAGGUAUCUGGAAAAGGAGAGACCCAGUGGUCGCGGGUUCAAAUCCCGUCGGGCCCA
rnacentral:tRNA from 1 species